GCCGGUUUAGCUCAGCUGGUAGAGCAACGCAUUCGUAAUGCGUGGGUCGGGCGUUCGAAUCUCCUAACCGGCACCA
rnacentral:tRNA from 1 species